ACCUAUCUUUCCUAGUCGGUGAAGAAUCUGCCUGCAAUGCAGGAGACCUGGGUUCAAUACCUGGGACAGGAA
rnacentral:tRNA from 1 species